CCCGCCCUCGGGGAGCUUGAGGUCCGGGUCGUUGGGGUCGACCUCCACCGGCGCGGUGGCCGUGGGUUCGGUGCCCGGGGGCACGC
rnacentral:tRNA from 1 species